GGUUGCAACAUCCCCGUGGGUUGGGUGUCCGGUUCGGUGAACGGGCACAGUGAACCCACUGCAACU
rnacentral:sRNA from 1 species